GUCGAACGAAGUAGCAAUACUUAGUGGCAGACGGGUGAGUAACAUGUGGGUAUCUGCCCUUUGGCCUGGAAUAACACGAGGAAACUUGUGCUAAUACCGGAUAAGUCUUUACGGAGAAAGCUUUAUGCACCAUUGGAUGAGCCCGCACUUGAUUAGUUUGUUGGUGGGGUAAUGGCCUACCAAGACUGUGAUCAAUAGCUGAUUUGAGAGGAUGAUCAGCCACAUUGGGACUGAGACACGGCCCAAACUCCUACGGGAGGCAGCAGUGGGGAAUCUUGCACAAUGGAGGAAACUCUGAUGCAGCGAUGCCGCGUGAGUGAAGAAGGCCCUUGGGUUGUAAAGCUCUUUCGUCGGGGAAGAAAAUGACUGUACCCGAAUAAGAAGGUCCGGCUAACUUCGUGCCAGCAGCCGCGGUAAUACGAAGGGACCUAGCGUAGUUCGGAAUUACUGGGCUUAAAGAGUUCGUAGGUGGUUGAAAAAGUUAGUGGUGAAAUCCCAGAGCUUAACUCUGGAACUGCCAUUAAAACUUUUCAGCUAGAGUAUGAUAGAGGAAAGCAGAAUUUCUAGUGUAGAGGUGAAAUUCGUAGAUAUUAGAAAGAAUACCAAUUGCGAAGGCAGCUUUCUGGAUCAUUACUGACACUGAGGAACGAAAGCAUGGGUAGCGAAGAGGAUUAGAUACCCUCGUAGUCCAUGCCGUAAACGAUGUGUGUUAGAUGUUGGAAAUUUAUUUUCAGUGUCGCAGCGAAAGCGAUAAACACACCGCCUGGGGAGUACGACCGCAAGGUUAAAACUCAAAUGAAUUGACGGGGACCCGCACAAGUAGUGGAGCAUGUGGUUUAAUUCGAAGAUACGCGCAGAACCUUACCAACACUUGACAUGUUCGUCGCGACUCUAAGAGAUUAGAGUUUUCGGUUCGGCCGGACGAAACACAGGUGCUGCAUGGCUGUCGUCAGCUCGUGUCGUGAGAUGUUGGGUUAAGUCCCGCAACGAGCGCAACCCUCACUUUUAGUUGCCAUCAUUAAGUUGGGCACUCU
rnacentral:rRNA from 1 species